CUCCAGGUCCAGCACACAAACUCACAGUAAUGAAUUCAUGAAUAACUCAUUGAUUACAGCGUUGCUUUACAUAUAUUAGAGCACUUACCACAUGCCCUGUGGUUAAGUGAUUUGCAUGCAGCAUCUCAGUUAAUCUCAGAACAUCCCGUGACGCAGGUAUCCUUCUUGUCCCUGAUUUUACAGUUCAGGAAACGGCCUCAGAGAGGUGAGGAGACGCCCACAGUCGCGUGGCAUGGUGCACCUGUGUUCUGAACUGUCACUUGCCUCUCCCUGUGAGCCUCUCUUUACUCUGCCUUGUCUUCUUGUCCUGGGGCAAGAAGUUAGGGUUCAAGACCCUUCGGGAUGUGAGGAUGUUUCUGCCACUCUGGACAUUAGUUUUCUCCCCUAAGUGGCUCUAUCUCUCCCGGCCUGAGUUUGGAAGGGAGACACCAUUCUGGUACGACUUUUCUUAGGCCUGUGCUGCCAUCUAUGGGGCUCGAAGGUGCUCGCCAUGCUCCAGACCGGCCACCUGGCAGUCAGGUGAGCUUGCAAGUGUGAAGAGCAGCGGGAUGCGGGGGAGGGAGCAAGCCCAGUAACAAAUAAAGCAAAUAUCAUCGGC
rnacentral:lncRNA from 10 species